rnacentral:rRNA from 1 species
GACGAACGCUGGCGGCGUGCUUAACACAUGCAAGUCGAACGAUGAAGAAGAGAAACGCGCCCUUCGGUUCAAAUUUCACUUCGGAUUAGUGGCAGACGGGUGAGUAACGCGUGAGCAACCUACCUCUUACAAAGGGAUAGCCUCGGGAAACCGUGAUUAAUACCAUAUGACACAUUCAUAAGGCAUCUUAAGAAUGUUAAAGCUACGGCGGUAAGAGAUGGGCUCGCGUCCCAUUAGCUAGUUGGUGAGGUAACGGCCCACCAAGGCGACGAUGGGUAACCGGCCUGAGAGGGUGAACGGUCACAUUGGAACUGAGACACGGUCCAAACUCCUACGGGAGGCAGCAGUGGGGAAUAUUGCACAAUGGAGGGAACUCUGAUGCAGCGACGCUGCGUGAGCGAUGAAGGAAUUCGUUUCGUAAAGCUCUGUUCUAUGGGAAGAAAAGGACUGUACCAUAGGAGAAAGCCCCGGCUAAAUACGUG